AGUUUAACAGAAUAUAACUUACCGUCAUUUUUAAACAGAAUAUUCCUCAACUUUAACGGCUCUAUUAAUCUAUAUAUCUAUAUCUAUGGAGUAUAUGAAAACACAGUUGAUAAGAGCAGCUAUUUUUUUAGGUAAAAUUACGGUUAGAGCAUUAAGCAGCAAAUUUCUCUCCCUCUCCCACACGUUCUCUAUCAUCCUCUCUCACACGUUUUCUCACAAUCACUAAAGCAACAAAAUAUGGAUUUAGCGAAAUCUCUGCUGCAUUCGCUUUCAGAAUUCGCUGCCGCAGUCAGUUGCAUCAGCACAAAGACGUGGAAGAAGUCUUCCCGUCAGGUGAUUGAGGUGCAUUAUUAUCCAAAGAUGACUAUUCCACGUCCACAAGAAGGUUGUAGAAAAAGCUUAUGGCUCUAAUGGUAUCCCUAAUAUGGAGAAAGUAAUAUGUAGAAGUGUACUGUUUACAAUUUAAAUGAUUCUAGAAGUUAGGGAAAAAAGACAAAUUUUGAUCAUAUCAUUGUUUAUUGAUCAUUAACUUUUUUUUUAUCUAUUACUAUAUGUAUUAUGCUUAUCUUGCAAGCAAAAUCUGUAUUGACGUGUUUUGCUAUGCUCCCUUGAUGAUGUGAUUAGUCAAUAGUUGUUAUUGUGCUGUUAAUUGGAGCUUUUUCUUUCAACAAGUUAUAGAUUUUAAAGAUUUUUUUUCUAAUAAUGUUUUCGCACAUGGUGCCUCAUAUAUGACUGAAGUAACAGAACUAUGUGUAUCUAAAUUUGAGCGAAUAAGACUUAAAGAACAUAUUAUAAUUUUAUGGAGCCUUAACAUUACUCUGUUGGGUUGUCAUUCUGUUACGCCGCAGAUGGACUACGACAGUGUCGACGAUAGGAGAUAGAUAGAGAUGCGAUAUUUUUUUAGUUUAGUUAUGUUAUUUUUGGAUGUUGCUCUACAAGGGAUAAUUGACAGAUUUUAUGGAAAAUUUGUUUUUUCCUUUUCUUUUAUUUUCUUUUUUGUGUGCUUGAAUUUGAGAUUUCAUGGAUGUUAUACAAUAUUUUAAUAUCACAACUUAUUUCGUAUGAUUAUAAGAUACCUUUAACCUUAUAGGAUAAGUAUUGGACUAGAUUUGAAAUUUUAGGAUAUCUAGGUAGCCGUUGAUAAGGUGUAUCUCAUCUAUUUUUUUUUUUAUUUUUUUUUAAUGUUAUGCAACCUUUUAUUUUCACUUUAUUCUUGAAUUUAAACUAUGACUUGCAUCUUUUAUUAUUGUUUCAGUGUAGGCAACAACAACGACAACGAUUAUUAGCCAGGUGCAAUCUGCCUCCUUACUCUCGCUUUCUCAUAUAAAUUUUCUCUUCUUUUUUUCAUAUCUUAGUUGAUUAAUUGCAGAAUUUGACUAAGUUUAGCAGAAGAAGGAAAAAAAGAAGAAGAAUCCCAGCUAAUAUACUCUAACAACAAUGAAUACAAUAUGAUCCAGUAAAACUUUGGAUUCACUUGAAUAAUAUUUAAUUUUGCAGGUCGUUGCUGUGCUAGAAACAAAUGGGCUACAAAUUUUCAUUCGUCUCAUGUGCUUAGAUUAGGUUUGGGCACAUCCUGUGUAUUCAAUAUAUUAAAUGAUAGGUAUUUAGUUUGUGUAUUCAUUGUAAGUUAUGCUAUGGGAUAGUUCUAAAUUCUUUAAUCUACACCAUGAAUAUGUGAUUUUUUGGACA